AUACGGAGGGUGCAAGCGUUAUCCGGAAUCAUUGGGUUUAAAGGGUCCGCAGGCGGACUAAUAAGUCAGUGGUGAAAUCCUCUCGCUUAACGAGAGAACUGCCAUUGAAACUGUUAGUCUUGAAUUCGGUCGAAGUAGGCGGAAUGUGUCAUGUAGCGGUGAAAUGCAUAGAUAUGACACAGAACACCGAUAGCGAAGGCAGCUUACUAGACCUGGAUUGACGUUCAUGGACGAAAGCGUGGGGAGCGAACAGGAUUAGAAACCCUAGUAGUCC
rnacentral:rRNA from 1 species